rnacentral:lncRNA from 1 species
AUGGGGAAAAAUUAGAGAUAGAGAAGGAAAAGAUGGAGAGAGAUGGAGAGGAAGAAAUACAAAAGUUGAGUGAGAGGGAGAAAGAUGAGGAGAAAGAAAAAGCAGUGGUUGAGAAAAAAAGAAAAAAUAAGAAAAUAAGAAAAAAGAAAUAAAGAAAGCAGAAGAAGGAGAAGGUUGAUAAAAAAAGGAAGAGAGGAAAGAAGAAAAGAUCAUAUGAAAAGCCCCUUCCUCAUAAAAAGAAAAAUCAUAGGAAGGAAAAGAAGUUCAAGUACUUUAUGGAGAUCUUCAAGAAAUUGGAGAUCAAAGUUCCUAUGGUUGAAACUUGGAAACAUGUGCUUGGCGUUCUUA